rnacentral:rRNA from 1 species
AACGAACGCUGGCGGCAUGCCUAACACAUGCAAGUCGAACGAGACCUUCGGGUCUAGUGGCGCACGGGUGCGUAACGCGUGGGAACCUGCCCUUAGGUUCGGAAUAACUCCCCGAAAGGGGUGCUAAUACCGGAUAAUGUCUUCGGACCAAAGAUUUAUCGCCUUUGGAUGGGCCCGCGUUGGAUUAGCUAGUUGGUAGGGUAAAAGCCUACCAAGGCGACGAUCCAUAGCUGGUCUGAGAGGAUGAUCAGCCACACUGGGACUGAGACACGGCCCAGACUCCUACGGGAGGCAGCAGUGGGGAAUAUUGGACAAGGGGGGAAAGCCUGAGCCAGCAAUGCCGCGUGAGUGAUGAAGGCCUUAGGGUUGUAAAGCUCUUUUACCCGGGAUGAUAGUGACAGCCCCGGGAGAAUAAGCUCCGGCUAACUCCG